UACGUAGGGUGCAAGCGUUAAUCGGAAUUACUGGGCGUAAAGCGUGCGCAGGCGGUUCGGAAAGGAAGAUGUGAAAUCCCAGGGCUUAACCUUGGAACUGCAUUUUUAACUGCCGGGCUAGAGUAUGUCAGAGGGGGGUAGAAUUCCACGUGUAGCAGUGAAAUGCGUAGAGAUGUGGAGGAAUACCGAUGGCGAAGGCAGCCCCCUGGGAUAAUACUGACGCUCAUGCACGAAAGCGUGGGGAGCAAACAGG
rnacentral:rRNA from 1 species